AAAUCAUUUCGUUGCAUCGUAACAUUGUAUGUAUUACUAUGUAUACAAUAUUUACAUAAAUAUAUACAAAUUUUGUGAUAAAUGUUUAAAGUGAUAAAUAUUUUAGUAGUUGACAUUGUUCUAAAUUAUAAAAUAUUUUAUUUUUACUCAUUCACUUCUUUAUUUUAAAUAUUAAUAUAUUAUUAUUGAAAGAUUUAAAAGUGAUAAUAGAGGUUAAGUUAUUGAAUAAUUUUCAAUAUUAUUGAAAAAUUUUAUUGUACUAUGGAAUCGAAUGAAAUUACUUGGAAAUUAGUACCAAAUACAGUUGCAAGUAGAAUGAUAGAUUUUUCUUUAAUACACAAGCUAGUACCAUCUAGAAAAAUACGUCAAAGAAAUAAAGCUAUGAAUAUUGCAAUUAAACAGUUUCAGAGUUUAAAAUCAUAUAGUCAAUAUAUUAAAAUGAAAACUUCAAUUCUUCGAAAUUUAUCAGAUGAUAGUGAAACUGAUGAUAAUGUAAGUUUUACAGAAGAUGAUUACAGUAUUUUAUAUAAAUCUGAUCUAAGUUUAACAGACUACAUAAUGCAAAUGUCUAAUAAAAAUGAAAAGUAUACUUAUGAAUCAGAAUUUGAAACUAAUAAAGAUAAUAUUGUUUCUAAUUCAAAAACUAAGAAAACAUAUAUAGAAAAACGCAAAAGAAAAUCAUCAGAAACUAUAAAUUUAGGUUGGCAAAAAAUUGUUAAAAAAAGAAUUAAAGAUUCUUCUUUUGAAACAAAAAAGACAAAUAUAAAUGAUUUAAUAUCUUCUAAUGUAACUUCUUCUCUUAUAAAUGCUAACACACAAGAUAAUUUCAAGAUUGAUGCAAACUGUUCUAAGGAAAAUAUUUUAAAUCUAUCAAAUGAAAUGUCAAUAAAUAAUGAAAUUUAUACUGCAGAAAAAAUUAAAGAUAAAUGUUCCAGAGUUCCAGAUUCAAAUAAAGUAAAACAUGAUAUAAUUGCAGUACAUGAAACAAUAAGCAAAAAUAAUGAGUUAGAAGUAUCAAAUCUUAUGAUGAAUAAUAUUGAUAAAAAGUUUCACUCAAAUGAAAAUUAUUCUUAUAAAUUAUUUGAUGAUUCUAAUACAGAAACAGUUAAAGGAAUCAAAAAAGAAAUGGCAUCAUUAUCAGAUCAUAUUAAUGAAAAUCAAAAUCCUAAUGAUUCUUGUAUAAAUAAAAAUAUACUUUUGAUUCAAAAUAAUUGUAAUCAAUCAGAGAAAAAUUUAAUUAGAAAAGAAUUGAAAGAUCAACUUUUAAUUAUAGGCAAUACAUAUCAACCAAAGGAUUCAGGCAUUGAAGAAGAUUCAGAGGAAGAAAUUUCAGAUCAUAAAAAAAAACAUUAUAAAAAAGUUAAAAACACAAUUCAAAAUACAGAACAAAAUAUAUCAACUACUAGUUCUCCACAACCCACAAUAAAUUAUAAAAAUAAUAUGAUAGAUUGUGAUAACAAUUCUGAAAGGCACAUGCUAAAUAAAUCAGAUAUCAAAGAUAUAAUAUUACAUGUAGAUAAAAAUAUAAAUGAAAUAGAAUAUAAGAAAAAAAUAGAAAAGCAUAAAGUACAACCCAAAGUUACUCACACAGAAAUUGUUAAUAGAAAGUAUAAAAUAAUACGUGAUACAUCUGUAUUUGAUAAUCAUAGUGAAUCAGAAGAAUUAGAUUUUCAUGAUGAAAAUUAUGAAAUACAAGAAGCACAACAAAUAAUGGAAGAUAAUAUUUCUUCUAAUAAACGAUUGCAACAAUUAAGAAGAUUAAAUUUAACUAUAGAUAGUAACUCUAGUCUUAGUGAUAAUGAUGAUACAUGUUGUAAUGUUGAGAAUAUGAGAAAUAAGCUAUUUGAACGAUCUAAAGAAUCAGUAGAUACAUUAAAUAGUGAAGAUGAAGAUAUAAAUUCCAAACAUGAAAUUUCAAUGAAAUUUGAUGAAAAAUUACAAAAUAAUGAUAAAUACAUUCAACUUACAGGAAUUAAUAGAAAAAGAAAGUUUAGUACUUGAAACAACAAUACCUUCUUUUACCCUUAAGGACAUAGAAGAGGACGAUGUUUUUAUUAUUGACAUUCCUUCUACGGUACUUGAAAGUGAAUUAAUA
rnacentral:misc_RNA from 1 species